rnacentral:rRNA from 1 species
CGGGGGGCAGCAGUGGGGAAUAUUGGACAAUGGGCGCAAGCCUGAUCCAGCCAUGCCGCGUGAGUGAUGAAGGCCUUAGGGUUGUAAAGCUCUUUUGUCCGGGACGAUAAUGACGGUACCGGAAGAAUAAGCCCCGGCUAACUUCGUGCCAGCAGCCGCGGUAAUACGAAGGGGGCUAGCGUUGCUCGGAAUCACUGGGCGUAAAGGGCGCGUAGGCGGCCGAUUAAGUCGGGGGUGAAAGCCUGUGGCUCAACCACAGAAUUGCCUUCGAUACUGGUUGGCUUGAGACCGGAAGAGGACAGCGGAACUGCGAGUGUAGAGGUGAAAUUCGUAGAUAUUCGCAAGAACACCAGUGGCGAAGGCGGCUGUCUGGUCCGGUUCUGACGCUGAGGCGCGAAAGCGUGGGGAGCAAACAGGAUUAGAUACCCCAGU